ensembl:snRNA Gm22779 U6 spliceosomal RNA
GAGCUCACUUUGGGAGCACAAAGGCCAGAACUGGAAUGAAACAAAGAAGAUUAACAUGGCCUCUGUGCGAGCAUGGUAUGCAAACUUAUGAGGCCCUCCAUAUUAAA